AUAAGGAGCUUGCUCCUUUGACGUUAGCGGCGGACGGGUGAGUAACACGUGGAUAACCUACCUAUAAGACUGGGAUAACUUCGGGAAACCGGAGCUAAUACCGGAUAACAUAUUGAACCGCAUGGUUCAAUAGUGAAAGGCGGCUUUGCUGUCACUUAUAGAUGGAUCCGCGCCGUAUUAGCUAGUUGGUAAGGUAACGGCUUACCAAGGCAACGAUACGUAGCCGACCUGAGAGGGUGAUCGGCCACACUGGAACUGAGACACGGUCCAGACUCCUACGGGAGGCAGCAGUAGGGAAUCUUCCGCAAUGGGCGAAAGCCUGACGGAGCAACGCCGCGUGAGUGAUGAAGGUCUUCGGAUCGUAAAACUCUGUUAUCAGGGAAGAACAAAUGUGUAAGUAACUGUGCACAUCUUGACGGUACCUGAUCAGAAAGCCACGGCUAACUACGUGCCAGCAGCCGCGGUAAUACGUAGGUGGCAAGCGUUAUCCGGAAUUAUUGGGCGUAAAGCGCGCGUAGGCGGUUUUUUAAGUCUGAUGUGAAAGCCCACGGCUCAACCGUGGAGGGUCAUUGGAAACUGGAAAACUUGAGUGCAGAAGAGGAAAGUGGAAUUCCAUGUGUAGCGGUGAAAUGCGCAGAGAUAUGGAGGAACACCAGUGGCGAAGGCGACUUUCUGGUCUGUAACUGACGCUGAUGUGCGAAAGCGUGGGGAUCAAACAGGAUUAGAUACCCUGGUAGUCCACGCCGUAAACGAUGAGUGCUAAGUGUUAGGGGGUUUCCGCCCCUUAGUGCUGCAGCUAACGCAUUAAGCACUCCGCCUGGGGAGUACGACCGCAAGGUUGAAACUCAAAGGAAUUGACGGGGACCCGCACAAGCGGUGGAGCAUGUGGUUUAAUUCGAAGCAACGCGAAGAACCUUACCAAAUCUUGACAUCCUUUGACUGCUCUAGAGAUAGAGUCUUCCCCUUCGGGGGACAAAGUGACAGGUGGUGCAUGGUUGUCGUCAGCUCGUGUCGUGAAAUGUUGGGUUAAGUCCCGCAACGAGCGCAACCCUUAAGCUUAAUUGCCAUCAUUAAGUUGGG
rnacentral:rRNA from 1 species